GGGGCCCGCACAAGCGGUGGAGCAUGUGGUCAAUUCGACGCAACGCGAAGAACCUUACCUGGGCUUGACAUCCGCUGACAGUCCCGAAACGGGAUCUUCCCCGCAAGGGGACGGCGAGACAGGUGGUGCAUGGUUGUCGUCAGCUCGUGUCGUGAGAUGUUGGGUUAAGUCCCGCAACGAGCGCAACCCCUAUUGUUAGUUGCCAUCAUUCAGUUGGGCACUCUAGCGAGACUGCCGGUAAUAACCGGAGGAAGUGGGAUGACGUCAAAUCAUCAUGCCCCUUAUGACCUGGGCUACACACGUGCUACAAUGGUUGGUACAACGAGUUGCGAGUCGGUGACGGCGAGCUAAUCUCUUAAAGCCAAUCUCAGUUCGGAUUGUAGGCUGCAACUCGCCUACAUGAAGUCGGAAUCGCUAGUAAUCGCGGAUCAGCACGCCGCGGUGAAUACGUUCCCGGGCCUU
rnacentral:rRNA from 1 species